GAGAGAUACACAAACAAGAGCACGGACAAGUUUAGGCAUUUCAUGUAUGGAGGGGAAAACUACUCUAUGCUUUCUCAUGGUGCUUCUGCUGCUAGGAAACUGCGCACAUGCUGAGAACAGCUGCAAAGAGCACCGUACUUUGGAGAUAGGCUGCAUAAGAAAAUAUUGUAGGAAAAACUGCAACAGAGACUACGAAGGACAUCGUGUCAGGAAUGCUUAUUGUACUGGCUUUAUCCCCUUCGUCUUUUGUGUCUGCGACGUCUUUGACGGCUAGAAGUACUACACAUGUAAGGAGACAAUGCAACAUCACAUGAUGGGGUUCAUUUACACAAGUGAAUCAUCAAGUUUGGCAAUAAUAAAUUUUGUCUA